AGAGUUUGAUCAUGGCUCAGAACGAACGCUGGCGGCAGGCUUAACACACGCAAGUCGAACGCAUCCUUCGGGGUGAGUGGCAGACGGGUGAGUAACGCGUGGGAACGUACCCUUCAGUUUGGGAUAACCCAGGGAAACUUGGGCUAAUACCGGAUACGCCCUUUUGGGGAAAGAUUUAUCGCUGAAGGAUCGGCCCGCGUCUGAUUAGCUAGUUGGUGAGGUAAAAGCUCACCAAGGCGACGAUCAGUAGCUGGUCUGAGAGGAUGAUCAGCCACACUGGGACUGAGACACGGCCCAGACUCCUACGGGAGGCAGCAGUGGGGAAUAUUGGACAAUGGGCGCAAGCCUGAUCCAGCCAUGCCGCGUGAGUGAUGAAGGCCUUAGGGUUGUAAAGCUCUUUCGGCGGGGACGAUAAUGACGGUACCCGCAGAAGAAGCCCCGGCUAACUUCGUGCCAGCAGCCGCGGUAAUACGAAGGGGG
rnacentral:rRNA from 1 species